AUUGAACGCUGGCGGCAUGCUUUACACAUGCAAGUCGAACGGCAGCGCGCGCUUUGUCCUGGCGGCGCGUGGCGCACGGGUGUGUAUUGCAUUGGAAUGUGCUCCGUUGUGGGGGAUAGUCCGGUGAAAGCCGGAUUAAUACUGCAUACGACCUGAGGGUGAUAGCGGGUGACCGAAAGGCCUCGUGCUAUUUGAGCGGUCGACGUCGGAUUAGUUAGUUGGUGGGGUAAAGGCUUACCAAGGCGACGAUCCGUAGCUGGUCUGAGAGGACGACCAGCCACACUGGAAGUGAAACACGGCCCAGACUCCUACGGGAGGCAGCAGUGGGGAAUUGUGGGCAAUAGGGGCAACCCUGAUCCAACCAUGCCACGUGCGAGAAGAAAGCCUUCGGGUUGUAAACCGCUUUUGUUCGGGAAGAAAUCCUCUGGGCUAAUACCCCGGGGGAAUGACGGUACCGGAAAAAUAAGCACCGGCUAACUACGUG
rnacentral:rRNA from 1 species